CAAAAGGUUCAUAUUGAACCAAAAAAAGAGAGAAGAAGCAAUAUGGCUUCCUCUGUCAUUUCUUCAGCAGCUGUUGCCACACGCAGCAAUGUUACACAAGCUAGCAUGGUUGCACCUUUCACUGGUCUCAAAUCUUCAGCCACUUUCCCUGUUACAAAGAAGCAAAACCUUGACAUCACUUCCAUUGCUAGCAAUGGUGGAAGAGUUAGCUGCAUGCAGGUAACUCACUCAUCGGUUUUCCGAAAUUGAUAUUUUCUUAGUAUGUUGUAACAUGUAAUCUGUCUUAUUUCUCGAUUCAAUUAUCUAAGGGUUAUAUGUAUGUUAGCUACUCUCUCUGGCUUAAUUUAUGUGACGGUAGUACUAUUUUAUUUUAGUUAGUAUAAAAAAGAGUGAUUUACUUUGUUUCAGUUUGUUUGUUUAAUCUUAAUUUAACAUAACUUUUAAGAAAAUUAAAAAGUCUUUUGAAUUUGUAGUUUUAAAUUAAAGUUACGUAGAAUGUAUUAAAAUAUCCUACAUUUUGUGAUUUCAAACAUGUUAACUGUCACGUGAAAAAUUAGAAUUAGAUAAUUAUCAAAAAAAAAAAAAGAGACUUUAGAAGAGUAAUAUAAACAAAUUGAAACAUGAGUAUAUGUAGUUACUGACCUCUGAUCUAGUUUAUGCCAUUAUUAUUUUUCUUUUUAAGUCUGUUUUAAAAGAAUGACAUAUUUUUAUAUUUAAUAGCAGUAUUGAUUUAAGUUUGAAAAAAAUUUCUAUUUUAUCUUUAAUGAGAUGAUUUAUAAUUACAUAAGUAUUUAUAUUAUCUUAGACCAUAAACUACGAAAAUCUCUGUUUAUUCUUAAAAUUCCAUUUACCAUUAAGUACCUCCACAUAAGAAUUAAAAAAAGAGAGUAUCUUUCAAAUUAUCUGAUAAUUCAUAGAAGUUAAAAGAUCCAAUUGCUUAACUUAUCUUUGAUUAUAUUAAACACAUGAAAAGUGUAUCCUACGUAUAAUCUCUACGUUCAAAAUUAAAGACAAAUUUAAGAUCUAGAAUUGAUGAACUCAAAAUAUCUCUAUCUUAUUAUUAUUAUGUAUAUAUACAACUUAAUUUUUCGAAAUGUUGAUGAAUGUAUGUUAAAUCCUUUACAAUAGUGCAUUUUUAGAUAAUUCGAUAAGAGUGUAACAAUAUUUUCAGAAAGUCGAU
rnacentral:lncRNA from 1 species